GGAGAAGAAAGGGAUGCCGGGGAAAAAAAGAAGGAAAAAAAAAAAAGAUGACUUCGGAUUUGACUUCUAGAAUUCAAAGGGGUUGUCUCCUAGCAACGCGCCGCCGAGCUCCCUCCGCCUGCGUGGUUCCCGGGGCAACCUCCCCGUGCCACUCUUCCCCUCCCCCUUCCAUCCUCCCUUCCCUCUGCGACCGGUAACCAUAGCAACAGCAACGGCGGGACUACUAGAAAGACCUCCCCGUCUCUCCCCUCCCGGGCCAUAGGCAAUUUCUAUCCAACAUCAGGGGAUGGCGUCCAGUCCUUCAGGGCCUCAGGAGAAAAAGGGCACUCUAAAUUCACAUAAUUCCCCUACACCAGCGGUGUUAACCAGAUCUGAGGAGUAUUUGGUCCGUAUCAGCACAGAACUUACCAACGAGGCCCUGAUGGGAGCCCAAUAUCCAAUAGGGCCUGACCUGCCCAAGGAAUUGAAAAAACUGGACCAGGGAACUCAGAUGUCCCGACACGAGAGAGGCACUCUUUCUAACUAGGGCCUAUGUUUUCAGUGCCGCCAACCACUCGGACCAAGGGCACAGAUACUCGUUCUGACAGAAACAGGACCAGAAACAAGACUCAUCUCCUGCCAUCCAGAGAGAUGGUUGAAGAUUUUAAAGAUGAGAAAGUUAAAUUGCUGAAGUCGAAAGAGAAAGACCUAUCCCAACAUAAGCAGGUAGAGACUGUACGACAAGAGGACACUCUGGGUGGAAGCAUGUAUUUGAUUCCCCGAUGGAAUACUCGGAGGUCGACUACAAUCCCAGAAGGCCUCUCUUCCUAUCCCUUGAGGAAAGAACAAGGAAGUAUCAAGAGAGAAGAACUAGACUCAAUGGAAGGAAGUGACAGGGAAGGAGAUUUCCAUUUAGGAAAGAUAUUCCAUCAGAACUGCUCACCAGCUGCCUCAAAAAGCUCUGGGUUACUAGAAGUGUUGAAGCAAAGACUUGAUGACCAUCUCUCUAAGAGGUUGUAGAAUGUGGCUUGAGAUCCCACUCUUCAAAAUUCAUCUGAAAAAAUCCUAGGGGUGGACUCCUGGCUAUGAGUGUCAUCAUCCGCAAGACCCAAAGACUCUCCCAAAGACAUUCUUCUUCACUCCCUACAGCCCGGCCAUGACACCAUCAGGAGCCAGAGACUAAUAAAGAGACGGGGACCCCCGCCUUCCCCUCCCCCAAUUCAGGCAA